UACGUAGGGUGCGAGCGUGUCCGGAAUUAUUGGGCGUAAAGCGCGUGUAGGCGGCUUUGCAAGUCGGGUGUGAAAGCCCUCGGCUCAACCGAGGAAGUGCGCCCGAAACUGCAGAGCUUGAGUACCGGAGAGGAUGGCGGAAUUCCCAAGUAGAGGUGAAAUUCGUAGAUAUGGGGAGGAACACCGGUGGCGAAGGCGGCCAUCUGGACGGAUACUGACGCUGAGACGCGAAA
rnacentral:rRNA from 1 species